UACGGAGGAUCCGAGCGUUAUCCGGAUUUAUUGGGUUUAAAGGGUGCGCAGGCGGGAGAUUAAGUCGGCGGUGAAAUUUUGCUGCUCAACUGUAAAAGUGCCUUCGAAACUGGUUUCCUUGAGUGUAGAUGAAGUAGGCGGAAUUUGUGGUGUAGCGGUGAAAUGCAUAGAUAUCACGAGGAACUCCGAUUGCGCAGGCAGCUUACUAAACUACUACUGACGCUCAGGCACGAAGGCGUGGGGAUCAAACAGGAUUAGAUACCCCUGUAGU
rnacentral:rRNA from 1 species